rnacentral:piRNA from 1 species
UGAUGUUUUGGAGGACAUAUGAGUC